AUGUAUCCGCUUCAGCAGCGCGCUGGCCCCCGAGAAACGCCAGGGCCCACCAGAGACCCGAGGGGACGGGUGCCAGAGACCUCCGGGUCCACCGGCGCUGCCACCUCGGCGAUGGCCAGGACCCAUCCGAAGCUGCGGGGAGGCAGCGCAGGGGCUCGGGGCUCACUGGGGCUCGGGGACCAGCGCCCAGCCCCACCGCCCUGGGGAAAAGCCUUCAAAGCCCUUGUACGGCGGCAAAGCCGCAGGAAGCUGCCACUGAGGGCAGGAGCCAUGGGGGUAGCCGGCCUCGCUCCCCAAGGAGGGGCUUCCACAAACAGCCCGCCCGUCAUUUUGUCUCGGUCUUAUUUAUUUGUUAUGAAUAAUUACGACUCCCCUUUCCCCUCGGCUCCAGCCCGGGCACAAAGCAGCCCGUUGCCCCAAAAGGUAGCGGCAUGUAAAAGUUGGUCGUUGCGUCUCCAUUAAACCGUCCGCUCUCCGCCCGCCGCCAAUAAUGCACUUCAGAUAAUGCGUUGACGCAAUAUAUUUUCCAGGAUAGGCUUUUGUUUUCUUUCUUGGCCGCUCACCCUCUUUCUGUGGUCAGUUUUGCUCAUUUCUCUUGUAAGCUGUCUAGAGGCAGAGAAAAGGCUUUCAGUUUUAAGCGGUUUCCUUUUCAGUCUCCCUUUAUUGAAUUCCAACCUCCAUUUUUUUUUUUUUUUAAGCAUAGGGACAUCAUUUAUCUUGGACUUUAAGUUGCAGGGGCCUUCAAGGGGCUUCUUUUUUUCUUUCCCAGCUGCAUUUGUUGACACACAGUCAAUCUGUUUUUUGCCUUCGGUCCCCCUCUUCCCCCCAGCAGGCCAUAAAGUAUCGACAGCUGUGCCCUUUAUUAGCAUAGCCAUUUUAAACACAACAAGGGGGAAGAGACUAAAUAUAUUACAGCCAUUACCUCUGUCAAAAAGUGACAAUUUUAAAACAUUUUAGCUUUUCACUGGGAAAGCUAGCAGCACAAAAGAAAGUGCUAUAAUUUUAUUGUAAAUGCUUUUUAAAUAUGGGUCACUUGGCCAUAAUCAAUAGAAAGGAUGGAAAAGUUCAAAGCUUGAGAACAGUUCAGGCAGAUAGCAGAAUUUUUUUUAAAAGGCUUGUCUUUAAAAUAUGCUAAUUGGGGCAAAAAUACAACAGUGAGAAGCAUGCAAAAUAAGAUCUUGUUCCUGGUGGUUUUGUUUUCAGUACAGCUCUGUUCAUGCUUUUCCCAUCUACUUAUAAGUGUGUUUUACAACUUGGAUGGGAAUUAUUCCUCCCCAACAGGGUGUUAUGAACAUUUGGGGACUGAGUAAAAGAGGAAAGAAUCCAGGCAGUCACUACUCUCGUCUCAAAAAAGAAAAAAAAAGAAAAAAAAGGACUGUUUUUCCAAAUACCUUUGGAACCGUGAUGUGCCACAGUACUGUAAUUUACCAGGCAAGAUCACUUCUGGGGCAUAAAACAAUUC
rnacentral:lncRNA from 1 species